CAGAGGCCUACCCUGGUUGAUCCUAC
rnacentral:piRNA from 1 species